CGACCUGCUCUUUGGGGCUGGCGGUGGGGGAAAGCAGCACUCCCCCCCUGCCAGCCCCAAAGAGCAGGUCG
rnacentral:miRNA from 1 species